UGUUCCACCAUUAGCAGCAACCAGUUGCUCAGACAGCCAGCACAUACCAUUUCACUAGCAACAAGUGGAGUACAGGAUGACAGUCAGCCCAAACUGUCGCUAUGCUGUCUCUCUUCUUUCCUCUCUCUGUUUUUUUUAUAAUGCCUGAUU